UACGAAGGGGCUAGCGUUGUUCGGAUUUACUGGGCGUAAAGCGCACGUAGGCGGAUCGUUAAGUCGGGGGUGAAAUCCUGGAGCUCAACUCCAGAACUGCCUUCGAUACUGGCGAUCUUGAGUCCGGAAGAGGUGAGUGGAACUCCUAGUGUAGAGGUGGAAAUUCGUAGAUAUUAGGAAGAACACCAGUGGCGAAGGCGGCUCACUGGUCCGGUACUGACGCUGAGGCGCGGAAAGCGUGGGGAGCGAACAGG
rnacentral:rRNA from 1 species